CACACAUACACACACACACCCGACUUUUAUCCUUCACUGCAGCUGUUCCCGGAGUUACCUAAAGAGACCCAACCCCGGCCAGCAGAGGCCCAGGCCUGGCUCCGCGCCUGAGGAGCCAGGGCCCCCUGUCCAGGGGGCGGGCAGGCUGCUAGCCAGCGGGUGACUCGACUUCCUCUCUAGCCUUCCCGGAGAUCCCCUCCCACGUCACCGCCAUCAGGUCUCCGAGGAAGUCAGCUUCUGGCCUCAAAGCUGUUCUGAAGCUCCUGGGAGGAAAAGGGAGGUGAGGUGGCAAGAGCCCUUGCGCGGGAUCAACGGACGGGGCCCCUAACUCGGUGUCUGUCACGCUUGAGGCGGCCAUGGGCGUUAAGGAGCGUGAGUAACCCGAUGUCCCGGGGGCGCCGCAAAAAGAAGCGAGAAUUAACACGGAUUGAGGGUCCUCGAGGUGCUGGCACCCUGCAAAUACCGUCUUAUUUAAACCCUCAACAAUCCCUUAUGCACACUCGGGCAGAGGAGUGCGUUCCAGCCAGAAGCACACGGCCGCCGCCGCGGGGACCGGGGCUGCAGCUCAGUUUACCGGUCCCACCUGUCACCCGUCCGCUGCUCACUGGAAUGAGAGCCGCGAAGUGGCCGAUCCAGGGGAGUCCGACAGCUGCGCAAGACACCCUGGAUGCGAUGCGCAGCUCUGCCUUGUGUGGCUUCAAGCAAGGAAGCGGAUCUCUGCGGAGCCUGAGUCUCCCCUCUAAGUGAAGCUAAUGAGAGCGCGCCCCUCACUAGCAUAGGGACGCGAGGAAAGAACGUGACCACACGCUCACUGCCGAGCCUGCGCCAGGGACCGCUCGGCGCUCCUGCGGGCACGCGCAGCCGGGGGCUCAGCGGGGCGGGCACGCGCGGUCCCGGGCUCAGCGGGGACAGGGGGCGGGGACAGGGCGGCGCGGUGGCGCGGAGGUUCCCGGUUUCCGCGCAGACUUCCGCGCAGCCGGCCGCUGCGUCACCGGCCGAGCGCGCGGGCCGGGCGGCGGGGGCGGGGGCGCGGGCGCCGCUGGAAGCCCCGCGGCCCUUACGGAAAGUGCGCCCGGAGUUCCCAGUGCCGUCGGGGCGGCGGGGCGGUGGCCCCGUGUCGCCCGGGCCGGGCAGCGGCUGGUGGCCCCACGCGCUGUUUGACGCGGCGCGCCGCUCCCUCGGCCCUGGCUGGGGGGCCCCCCCGGACCCCUGCUGUCCUGGGCGCGCCGUCGAGCUUGCACUUCCCCCGGCGGCGGGGAGGUUGGCCGAUGGAAGCCCCCCCCCCCUCCCCCCACCGCUUCCUUCCACCCCCGGACGCCCGCCCGGCUCGCCCCAUUGCACAAUUCCUGCCGUGGAAUUGCCGCGUGACUCGGCCCGAGCCCAAAAAUGUUUCCCAGGUUUCCCCAGCCGAGAAAGGAGCGCUUGGGUGUCCCGCCCUGACCCCAGAUGCCCUUUACAUUGUUCUUUUUCGAGUGGCUGGGUUGCCCUUUACAAAGAAAGGAGAGCUCCCUAGCCCGCUGGCACACCCGGUCUAGCUCGGCGCCGCGUGAACGCCACUGACACGUUUCUUUUCUCCGUGUGUAUUUGCAGACACAAAGUGUUCUGAUCUAUUUGGGGGAGAAUUCAGGAGCUCGUUUUAAAGGAGGAUGGGAGUGGUGCUUAAAGGCAUUGGAGACAAUCUUGAGCUCUCCAAGAAUCGGUGUUAUCAGCACCGAGGGCCCAUAGUAGAUCCUGUAGAAACAGCGAAUGAAUGAAUCUUUGGAGGGGGAUUUAAACGGCUGUUCACUUGGCAGACGAGGAAAUCUAGAGGUUAUGUGAAAGGCAGGAAUAGAAUCUGUCUCAUAUUUCAGCUCCAAAUACUUGUAAUUAUGAGAUGGGUGUAUUUUUCCCUCUUUAUGAAAAUAAAAUGACUUCUGCAGUAAUCUCUGCAAAGUCUUACUCCACACGCUACCCCUACGCGUCUAAAACAAAAUAAAACAGCAAUCCCCCAGUCCAAUACAUGCAUGCAAAAGGUUAAAUUUGGCAAUGCCAAAGCAAGAUAUUUGCAAGGCAUUUUUGUCUUAUUCCCCUAAGCUAACAGCACUUCUUAAUCACACAAAAUAUGCCCAAAGAAGAAAAAUAAACAAAACAAACAAAUAAAACAGUGCUUCUCCAAGAUGAUGUGGAAAAUACCAGGUCCCCACUCGCCUUACUUUUGUAAGUACGUGCUGGGUGGUUUUGCGUGGGAACUGCUAGGCUCGUGAAUGACCCUGUGUUGCUCUGAGACCAGUCAGUUGUUUUACUCAGGCUUGGACCAGAUUUGUUGGUCAUCUUUCAGAACAGACAAGCUGCAAUCUGUGAGAACACCAGGGGCUUCAGUGACAUCUUGCAGAUGGCUGGACAGCUUGUUGUCUUUGAAAUUUCAAGACUGACCAAAUAUACCAAAUGUGUAAUUUAGGGACCAGAAUUGCCAAACAAGUAGAUGUGACGAUCAAAGGAAUCAAAACGAUAAGUGGCAAUCAUGCACAAAACUUGCUUCUUUUGUGGCUUGUCAAUGAUUUCCACAAUGAUGACUAUGAUACAGUUACAGUAAUACAAUCCGAGUGCAAGGUCUUAUCCAAGAAGAUGCUGGGUUUUCCAGUGAUGGACACAACAGCAGACCAAAUUAUGAAAUGUCUCAUUUUUUACAUCAGCCAGAUAGACUCUGAAAUGGGACAGUCCCCUUCUGUAACUCUGCUGUCUUCUUGCCCCCUUGUCUAGCUCCGAUAUCUUGAAGGUGGGAAUGAAUACAAAUUGCUAGAAAAAAUUUGAAAUUCUAGGCAGUUAGGUAGAAUAUAUUAAUUCUGGUUUGGUAAUCCAACACAAUGUUCAUGAAAUCAAAGCAUCACCUCCUAUAUUUUUCCCAUACUGCAACUUCCAGUUCGCCAUUUUACCAGGCUAUGGAACCAGAACUCUAGGACCAGAGUGUUGACCCCUAUGCUUGCCCUGCUUUGCUGCUUGAGAAAAGGCAUCUGACCAAACACCAUCUUUCCCAAGUCAGAUCUUAAGAAUAACAACCUAUUUGGAUGCAAAUGAUACUUUUUAUUAUUACAUACUUCAUUCAACACCAUUACAUAACCAGUGUUGAAUUUUUCGCAAAGAAAAUAUCUCAGGACAAUUUCAAUUGUUAUCAACAUUAAUUAGUUCAACUGUAAGAUGAUAUUUAUAAGUCAUGGUAGAUAGCACUUUGGAAUUGACAGGGUCAUUAGAAAAAAUGACUGAAAUAUUUUGUAGAGUUUUUCAUUGGAGCUAUAUAGGUUCAAUGAGUGUCACAGGUCUUAAUCAAAAACAUUUAUAUUCAUGAAGCCUUUGAAAAUUAGAAAGUCCAUUUAAAUGCUUAUGUUUAUUAUACAAUUGUUUUUUUUUUUUUUUUUUUUUUUUUUAAAGAUUUUUUUAUUUUUUCCUUUUUCUCCCCAAAGCCCCCUGGUACAUAGUUGUGUAUUCUUCGUUGUGGGUUCCUCUAGUUGUGGCAUGUGGGACGCUGCCUCAGCGUGGUCUGACGAGCAGUGCCAUGUCCGCGCCCAGGAUUCGAACUGACGAAACACUGGGUCACCUGCAGCGGAGCGCGCGAACUUAACCACUCGGCCACGGGGCCAGCCCCUAUACAAUUGUUUAUAGUAAUAAAAAGUUGGAAACAACUUGGAUGCUCAUCAAUAAAAGAAUGGUUAAAGAAUCAAUGAUAUAUCCACCUACAAAACUGAAUAUAGUCAUUCAAAGAAAUGCUGUAAAGCUAUAGUCACUAACUUGAAAAAAUCUGCUAAAUUAUUAUCAGAAAAAAGCAAGUAAAUUAGCGGAAUAUGUAUAUUAAACUAGUUUAAAAGCACAUAGCUUUUAAGCAGGUAGAAAAGUGUCUGAAAGCACAUUCAUGAUACUGUUAAAGUGGUUUCCUCUGGGGAAGGAAGUGGGGUUGGUGAGUGGGUGGGUGGAGGUGGAGAGCAACACUCGCAUUUUACUACAGAUCUCAUAUGCCUAAAAACAAAAAAGUACAAAUACAUCAUUAAUUAUUAAACUUUUCAGAGAGUUAAUUUCGUUUCCAAUAAAGACAGGCAUAAGGAUCUGUACCUAGUCUCAGAAAUUAGAAUAAUAUUACCUUUCAUUUCCAAAACAGCUUGUAGUUUGCAACUGUGAUAACUAACUCUUGCUCUGUUCUGGGCAACUUCUAAGCCUUUUCUGUUUGCUAAUUCAUUUAACCCUCACGAGGGCCCUAUGAUUAGUUACUGUUAUUCUCCCAUCUUAGUGAUAAGGAAACUGAGGCACAGAGAAGAUGAGUGACUAGCCCAGGGUCACGUAGCCGGUAAGUGGCAGAGCUGGGAGAUGAAUGCGGGCAUUCUGCCUCUUGAAUCUCAGCUCUUGAUCUCUUCUGCUAAACCACGCUUUUACAAAAGCAUGUUCACAUGUAUUGACGUGUGUGCCCCCAAGCACCUAUUGUCCCCAUGUCACAUGAGGGGAAACUAGGACGCAUAUCUCAGUGUCCUGUAAUUGCCUAUUUUCAUAUUCUUGCACCCACUAGACUUUCAGCUCCAUUAUGCACGGAAUCUCUGUUUUGUUGUUGACUUUUGCACUCUGGCAUAUAGGAAGGGGGCAAUAAAUGAUUUCAAAUGCUAUGGUGGUUUAAAAUAUCCAUAAAUUCUCUGACACUAUCUUUAAGAGGUAGAGCCUAAUUUCCCUUCCCUUGGUUAUGGGCUGGACUUAGUGAGCCAUUUGUAAUGAAUAGAAUGAAGCCAUAGUGGCAGUGUAUGACUUCAGAGACUAGGACAUAAUAGGCACGAUGGCUUCCUGCUUGCUCUCUCCUUAUCUCAGAUUACUUCCUCUAAGGGUAACCAGUUGCUAUGUCAUGAGGAGAGGCCCAUGUGGUGAGAAACUGAGCCCUCCAGCCAACAGCCAGCCAGGAACUGAGACAUCUUGCGAAUAGCCAUGUGAGUGAACUUGGAAGUAGAUCCUCCAGCCUCAGUCAAGCUUUCAGAUGAUUGCCCCCCACCUGUCAUCUGGUCUGUAACUUCCUGAGAGGCCUUGAGCCAGCAUCACCAAGCUAACCCACUUCCAAAAUCCAUGACUUAUAGAAACUGUGAAAUAGGGGCUGGCCCUAUGGCAGAGUGGUUAAGUUCGCGCGCUCCACUUCCAUGGCUCAGGGUUUAGCGAGUUUGGAUCCUGGGUGCAGACAUGGCCCCGCUUAUCAGGACAUGCUGAGGGAGUGUCCCACAUAGCAAAGCCAGAGGGACCUAUAGCUAGAAUGUACAACUAUGUACUGGAGGCUUUGGGAGAAGAAUAAAAAUAAAAGAGAAUAUUGGCAAGAGUUGUUAGUUCAGGUGCCAAUCUUUAAAAAAAAAAAAAGAAAGAAAUUGUGUAAUAAUAAAUCUUCAUUGUUUUAAGCUACUAAGAAUUGGUGUAAUGUAUUAUAUAGCAAUAUAUAAUUAACACAAAUGCUUUUGAUUAAAAACGAUAUAUAUGUCUUUAUCUGUAAUUUGGAUAUUCAUGGAACAUAUUAAUAUGCUUUCUCUUUUGUAUUUUCAUGCAUAUGAUCUUUUCCUUAGUUGGCCUGAAGCAUCCAUUUGCCUGAGGGUGGAGUGUGGAGGGUGAGAUUAGGACUGCUAAAGCAGGAAUUAAAAAAGAAAGGAUUAAAAAUCAGCUUCUGACAUCCAAAAUAAGAUAUUUGAUCAAAAUGGUUAUUUAGAAAGCCAGAAAAAAGAUGAGAGAGAAAAGAUUCCCACAUUCCUUUUACUACCUUUGACACGUCAAGGGUUAAUGAGCGGAGUUUCUUAUAUUACAGUAUAAAGGUAUAAUAUUAUCUUUUAUGAUUUAGGGAGACAACGUUAUCCACUUACGAUGACCAGACCACUGAGCUUGCUGUCCCAAGAAAGAACAAGGAUAUGAUGUUGAAGAAGUGGAAUGUUUGAGCUUCUUCCUGUUCCAGUGGGUUGUUGGGAGAAGCUGGAAUUGGAGUCAGGAAAGCCAACCCCCAGGAAGAUCAAGGACCUUCAGGUGUCCGUAGACCGCCCUUUGAGAACCGCUGCUCUGGGAUGCAAGCCCAGGAGUGAAGCUGCUGCAUCACAAGCAGGUGCUUUCUUGAAGAGCGGUCUGAGUGGGGACCCCUACAGCUGCCACAACCCCACCACCCAUCUGGCCAUUCUGCUGUUGCCUACAGUCACAUUCAUGUCACGGAGGUCGAGCGCUGUUGUGCUCCACAGAACCACCUUGGCUUCUUUCAUGGCUCCCUUGGCUGAACACUCAAUCCCUAUUUCAGAAGACCAUGUAAAGUCUUGAUGAAAGUCAAGCAUCUAACCUCUUCCAAGUCAAGAAACUUGCAAAACGGUCUCACCAAAAUUGGAAUUUUUAAGUUAAAGUCAGAAAACAUAUUUACAAACUGCUUUCUUAGAUCAGACACCAUGUUAUGUGCCAUCACAUACGUCAUCUCGUUUGCUCCUCCCAGCGACAUCUGUGAAACAGGGGUAACCAUCCCUAUUUGGUGAGCAAAGAGACUGAAGUCCAAAGAAGGUGCCUAACAUCACAUACACAACGGGAACUGUGGAAUUUAAAUCCAGAUUUGUCGGGCAGCAACAAACAGAGGACAGACUUCAAUGCUGGAUGAGGGGAGAGUGGCCAAAUUCCCUCACUAGUUGACAGUGGAAAUAAGAAUAAAAGUAAAGAAUCCUAUUAUAGAGGACAGAGUAAGGAAUUACUCCUACUAUGCAUGGCUUCGAUGCUCACUAUCACGGGUACCCAGUCCAGGGAGAUACCAUCUUCUUACAAUGGGGGGCAUAUUUUACCUUUACAAAGUCUGUUGUGGACUGAAUAUUUGUGUCCCCCUCCCUCAAAUUCAUAUGCGAAGCCCUACACCCCGGUGUGAUGAACUUUGGAAGGUAAUUAGGUUUAGAUGAGGUUGUGAGAGUGGAGCCUCCAUGAUGGGAUUGGCGUCCUUAUAAAAAGAGGAAGAGACGUGAGCACUCUCUCUGCCAUGUGAGGACACCACAUGAGGGGAGAAGGUGGCCAUUUGCAAGGCAAGAAGAGAGCUCUCACCGGAAACGGAAUUGGCCAGCACCCUGACCUUGGACUUCUCAGCCUCCGGAACUGGAAGGAAGAAAUGUCUGUUGUGUAAGCCGCUCAGGGUGUGGUAUCUUGUUACUGCAGCCCUAGAAAAUAAGACAGAGUCUCCGAAGCAUGCAGCCACACGGCAUCAGAAACUUUCUCUUAGAAGACAAAUCUAUUCUUACAAUAGCAAGCCAACUAAUAAAAAAGGAACGAUGGAAUUUGAAAAUCAUCAGUGGAUGCUCAAACUAGUAGAUGAAUGUGGGAUGAGGAAGAGAAUAUUUACAUAGUCCCAAAAAACUUCCCUACAAAUCAUCUAUUAGUUACAAAAGAAAAAUAGGAUCUUUACAGCAGAGAAAUCUGGCGGACGCCAAGUCCAAGUCAGCCUCUCCGGUCUUCAGACAAAACAGUAUCACGUGCUCCCUCAUAUGAUGCACCGAGAAGGAGACACCACCACGUCUGUGGAAUUCCUGCCAAAAACGUGUGACCUGAACGUAAUCAUGAGGCAAGCCAGACGAGCCCAAGUUGAAGGAUAUUCUACCAAAAAAUUGUCCUGUAUUCUUAAAAAAUGUGAAGUUAGAGAAAAUCACAGAAAGGCUGAGGAACUCUUCCUGAUCCAAGAAGGUUAAAGGGACGUGACAACUAAAUGCAAUGCAUGAUCUGAGACUGGAUUCUGGCCAGGGAAAAUAAAAUAGCUAAAAAGGACAUUACUGGGACAAUUGCACAUGGACCAUCUGCUAGAUAAUAGUAUUGUAUCAAUGUUAAAGUUUUUGUGUUGAUCAUUUUGUGGUAGUUAUAUAAGAAAAUAUCCUUUUCUCAGCAAAGGAUAUUCUGAAGUUUUUGGGGGUCUUCUAACGUGGG
ensembl:lncRNA